UAGGAUUCCCUUAGUAGCUGCGAGCGAACAGGGAUAAGCCCAGCACCGAAUCCCGCGGCCGAUACCGGACGCCGGGAAAUGUGGUGUUAGGGAGGAUCCAUUUAUCCCGAGAUCGUGCGGCGCGUCCAAGUCCUUCUUGAACGGGGCCACAGCCCAUAGAGGGUGCCAGGCCCGUAGUGACCGUUGCCGAUUGCGGGAGGAUCUCUCCUCAGAGUCGGGUUGCUUGAGAGUGCAGCCCUAAGUGGGUGGUAAACUCCAUCUAAGGCUAAAUAUGACCACGAGACCGAUAGCGAACAAGUACCGUGAGGGAAAGUUGAAAAGCACUUUGAAGAGAGAGUUCAAGAGUACGUGAAACCGUUCAGGGGUAAACCUGAGAAAUCCGAAAGGUCGAAAGGGGAAAUUCAUUCGCGUCUCGACUACUGGAAAAAGAUGGUCUUGUGACGGAUGUUAUGCUUGCAUAAUGUUUGCACAUUCUGUUUUUUGAACUGGUAACGAAUGCGUGCACUUUUCCCCUAGUAGGACGUCGCGAUCCGUUGGGUGCCGGUCUAAGGCCCAUGGUGGAGCCCGUUUGUGGACAGUUUAUUCUGUCUCUUUCGGACCCAUGGUGUUUACCCGACCGGCUCGCUCGACGGUAUACAGAUGGCGCAGAGCCGCGACUCAGUUCGCGUUCGGCCCGUAGCAAGCGCGUUCGGUGUUUUGUUGGCGAUCGGACCUAGUGCCGGUCCUGGCCCCGAACGACUGUUGGCUGCGGUGUUCUCGAACAGACUCUGACAUUUAUGUAACGCCGAUCUGCGGCGCUAUAGCUUUGGAUACUUUCAGGACCCGUCUUGAAACACGGACCAAGGAGUCUAGCAUGUGCGCGAGUCAUUGGGACAUGACUAAACCUAAAGGCGUAAUGAAAGUAAAGGUUUGCCUUGCGCAUACCAAGGGAAGAUGAGUGGUUUACCCUUAAAGUGGCCACUCCGCAUUCCCGGGGCGUCUCAUUCUUAUUGCAAGAAGAGGCGCACCAAGAGCGUACACGCUGGGACCCGAAAGAUGGUGAACUAUGCCUGGUCAGGACGAAGUCAGGGGAAACCCUGAUGGAGGUCCGUAGCGAUUCUGACGUGCAAAUCGAUCGUCGGAACUGGGUAUAGGGGCGAAAGACUAAUCGAACCAUCUAGUAGCUGGUUCCCUCCGAAGUUUCCCUCAGGAUAGCUGGCGCUCGUUGCGUACGAGUCUCAUCCGGUAAAGCGAAUGAUUAGAGGCAUUGGGGUCGAAACGACCUCAACCUAUUCUCAAACUUUAAAUGGGUGAGAUCUCCGGCUUGCUCGAACUUUAUGAAGCCGUGAGACACGGAUCAGAGUGCCAAG
rnacentral:rRNA from 1 species